rnacentral:rRNA from 1 species
AUUGAACGCUGGCGGCAGGCCUAACACAUGCAAGUCGAACGAGUGGCGGACGGGUGAGUAAUGUCUGGGAACCUGCCUGAUGGAGGGGGAUAACUACUGGAAACGGUUGCUAAUACCGCAUACCAUCAGAUGUGCCCCGGUGGGAUUAGCUAGUUGGUUGGGUAAAGGCUCACAAAGGCGACGAUCCCUAACUGGUCUGAGAGGAUGAACAGCCACACUGGAACUGAGACACGGUCCAGACUCCUACGGGAGGCAGCAGUGGGGAAUAUUGCACAAUGGGCGCAAGCCUGAUGCAGCCAUGCCGCGUGUAUGAAGAAGGUCUUCGGGUUGUAAAGUACUUUCAGCGGGGAGGCGUUACCCGCAGAAGAAGCACCGGCUAACUCCGUGCCAGCAGCCGCGGUAAUUC